AGUUUCAGGUAUCUCUUCAUAGCAAUGCAAGAAUGAACUAAUACACAUGGUGCGGAAAAUAGAUUUCCUCAAAAGAAUGGAGGGUUGUUACAAUACGAAGGAAAAGGCUUGCUUGGAAAAAGUAAAGAAAGUUAGGGACAGUGAAACUGCUCACUGCAUAUUUCUUCUUAGACUUCAGGUAGAGUCGAUUAGAUGAAUGGGCCAAAAGAACCAGGAAAAGGAAGAAGACACAGCUUGAUCCCUGAGAUUUGACACAGGAUAAGAGGGAAAAGGAGGAAAGCCUUUGUAUAGACCCAAAUAAUGUCCAGAUCAGAAUUUUCUUCCCAAGUUUAGAGUUUGUUAAUAUUUACACCUUGCUGCAGCACCAUGUAGCUGGUGUCUCUGAAUUCAUGGGGAGUGAAUGCUUCAGGGAGCACAAUGGAAGGCUUCCACAGUCAAAGAUAAAUGUUAGUGGGGCUGACAGAAAAACAGCAUCCUUCUCACCAAGUUUGCCCUGAGAACAUCGAGAGAUUUUUAUUAUAAGUUGAAUGAACAAGAAUAGUGAGAGUAAACAGCAUUUGUUUUAGCUGCUGUGACUUCAGUACUACCACGAAAGGAGAAUCUGUGAGGAUUGGAGGUUUUUCUCAUGUGGAUCCCAGAAGCGCUUCACCGAUAUCUUGUCUGUCUGCUUAGGUCAGUGUUCCCAAAGAUUAUUUUGUAAAUUUGAAUAACAAUGGCUACAUCUCCAAAUCCAUAUUUUUAAGAUGAUCACCAACUAACUCUGACAUGCAGAGGAGUGAUAUUCUUGCUAUGGUUUUAUCCAUCAGCAGACAUGUCUGUGCCAAUCCUAGAAGCUGAGAUUGAGCUUAUUCUCUGGUCUUUUGAGGCAAAUCCAAACGAUUUAAGUAUCUUAUCCUGUGGUAAAUAUAACUAUAGGUCAAUAGUAUUGGUGGAUGAACUUAUCUAGAGGGUUUAUAAUGAAGGGUAAAUUUCCAUUAAAAGUUUAAUAUCACAAUAUUUUGCCUGAUGCACAUAGGCCAGUCACAUUAUCUGGGAAUCAUUUCUUCUCUUACAGGAGAAGAAAGUGAUGCCAGAUAAUUUUAUAAGGAUUCAAUGACUUUAAUUACUGUAUUUUUUCAUUACUAAGAGUUAUAUAUUCUUUACUUUUUAAUAAUAUACAUAAUAAAAUUUCCCUUUUUCUUUGAAACAAAUUAUUAAUUGCAUUUCUGUUAUUGAUGUCUUAAAUGUGAAGCAAUAUGAUAUUUCAAGUAGUAGCAAUUCCUCAACCAAAGGCCAUUCAUUUAUUUAUGCAUUUGUGUGUUUAAGAAGUGUUUUCUAACCACCUGCCGAGUGUCUGAUAUUGUACUAGGUAUGGGAAUACAGCAGUGAAAAAAGCUUAAGUCUCUGCCAUCUCAAAUAAUCUACUAAUGAUUAAACAUGUGUUACUGACAUUCCUUUAGUUUUAUUCUAAAAACUUGCUUAUAUGAUAUUUUAGUGGAUCAUGGGAUGGGCCAAGAUAGAUAAAUUAGAAAAAGUAAAAUGAAUUAUUCUCAGAAAUGUCAUGGCAUGAAAAGAGCUUUCAAGUCAGACAGUUUGCUGUAAAAAAAAUAGGGUUAUAAAAAAGACCAACUAUUCUUUAGAUAUGCAAGGAACCAUUAGACAGCUAACAGGUGUCUUAGAAAAAAAAAAGCCAGAAGUGAAAAUACAGGAUUGACUUUUGGGAGAACAGAUCAACAGUCCUCUGAAUUUAGUAUCUUGCCCACAAGGGGGUGCAUUUUCCUAACACGUUGACAUUUCCUGCUCACACUCAUCCCUUCGGUGUGAGCUUAACCUUUCCUCACACUAAGAAGUCAACACCCAAGGACACCAGGGGGUCUAAAAAUGAACUCUUCUCCAGGACCAGCGCUUGCACUGUUCUUAAUGUUUGGGGGAAUCAAUGGAGAUUCAGUGGUCCAGACAGAAGGUGAAGUGCUCCUCUCUGAAGGGGAUUCCCUGACUGUGAACUGCUCCUAUGAAUCCACAGGGUACCCUUCCCUUUUCUGGUAUGUCCAAUAUCCUGGAAAAGGUCCAGAGCUCCUCCUGAAAGCCACGAAGGGCAAUGACAAGGGAAGAAGCAACAAAGAUUUUGAAGCCAUGUACCGUACAGAAACCACUUCUUUCCACUUGGAGAAAGGCUCAGUUCGAGAAUCAGACUCAGCUGUGUACUUCUGUGCUCUGAGUGACACAGUGACAGGGACUGCAGGGGGAGCUGAGCACAAACUCUAAGCAGCACAAGGGGCCUGGCUGCUGAGUGUCAGCUGCUGUGAUCCACUCUGAUUAGGGACCUGGAACUACUCUACUGUUGUUGUUCAUCACUCACCCCAGGCACUCUGAGUGUGAAAGCCAUCCAAAUAAACUCUAAAACACGAUAGAAGAACAUGCCUUACACCAGAUGCUUUAACAAUAAGAGUGAAAACAGAAUGUCUCCAUAGUUCCUCAACCUUGCUUGACAUUUGUGAUUUUAAAAGUAUAAAACCUCGAGAUAAAUGAAAUGGUUUAGCUGUUCAUUCCUGCAUAAAAUCUAGACAAUCCUGGCCUUGUCUCAGGUCAUCCAAGGAAAUAGUAUGUUUACAGACACAGUUGUGACAGAUGAGGUUGCAAAUGCUUAAUGUAUACCUGAUGAGCUGGGGCAAGAUGGGAGG